UCCCAAAGUCAUAGUUAAGUGGGAAACGAUGUGGGAAGGCCCAGACAGCCAGGAUGUUGGCUUAGAAGCAGCCAUCAUUUAAAGAAAGCGUAAUAGCUCACUGGUCGAGUCGGCCUGCGCGGAAGAUGUAACGGGGCUAAACUAUGCACCGAAGCUGCGGCAGCGACACUAUGUGUUGUUGGGUAGGGGAGCGUUCUGUAAGCCUGUGAAGGUGUGUCGUGAGGCAUGCUGGAGGUAUCAGAAGUGCGAAUGCUGACAUAAGUAACGAUAAAGCGGGUGAAAAGCCCGCUCGCCGGAAGACCAAGGGUUCCUGUCCAACGUUAAUCGGGGCAGGGUGAGUCGACCCCUAAGGCGAGGCCGAAAGGCGUAGUCGAUGGGAAACGGGUUAAUAUUCCCGUACUUGGUGUUACUGCGAAGGGGGGACGGAGAAGGCUAUGUUGGCCGGGCGACGGUUGUCCCGGUUUAAGCGUGUAGGUGUGUGUUCCAGGUAAAUCCGGUUCACUUUAACACUGAGGCGUGAUGACGAGGCACUACGGUGCUGAAGCAACAAAUGCCCUGCUUCCAGGAAAAGCCUCUAAGCAUCAGGUAACAUCAAAUCGUACCCCAAACCGACACAGGUGGUCAGGUAGAGAAUACCAAGGCGCUUGAGAGAACUCGGGUGAAGGAACUAGGCAAAAUGGUGCCGUAACUUCGGGAGAAGGCACGCUGACACGUAGGUGAAGUGAUUUACUCAUGGAGCUGAAGUCAGUCGAAGAUACCAGCUGGCUGCAACUGUUUAUUAAAAACACAGCACUGUGCAAACACGAAAGUGGACGUAUACGGUGUGACGCCUGCCCGGUGCCGGAAGGUUAAUUGAUGGGGUCAGCGCAAGCGAAGCUCCUGAUCGAAGCCCCGGUAAACGGCGGCCGUAACUAUAACGGUCCUAAGGUAGCGAAAUUCCUUGUCGGGUAAGUUCCGACCUGCACGAAUGGCGUAAUGAUGGCCAGGCUGUCUCCACCCGAGACUCAGUGAAAUUGAACUCGCUGUGAAGAUGCAGUGUACCCGCGGCAAGACGGAAAGACCCCGUGAACCUUUACUAUAGCUUGACACUGAACAUUGAGCCUUGAUGUGUAGGAUAGGUGGGAGGCUUUGAAGUGUGGACGCCAGUCUGCAUGGAGCCGACCUUGAAAUACCACCCUUUAAUGUUUGAUGUUCUAACGUGGACCCGUGAUCCGGGUUGCGGACAGUGUCUGGUGGGUAGUUUGACUGGGGCGGUCUCCUCCUAAAGAGUAACGGAGGAGCACGAAGGUUGGCUAAUCCUGGUCGGACAUCAGGAGGUUAGUGCAAUGGCAUAAGCCAGCUUGACUGCGAGCGUGACGGCGCGAGCAGGUGCGAAAGCAGGUCAUAGUGAUCCGGUGGUUCUGAAUGGAAGGGCCAUCGCUCAACGGAUAAAAGGUACUCCGGGGAUAACAGGCUGAUACCGCCCAAGAGUUCAUAUCGACGGCGGUGUUUGGCACCUCGAUGUCGGCUCAUCACAUCCUGGGGCUGAAGUAGGUCCCAAGGGUAUGGCUGUUCGCCAUUUAAAGUGGUACGCGAGCUGGGUUUAGAACGUCGUGAGACAGUUCGGUCCCUAUCUGCCGUGGGCGCUGGAGAACUGAGGGGGGCUGCUCCUAGUACGAGAGGACCGGAGUGGACGCAUCACUGGUGUUCGGGUUGUCAUGCCAAUGGCACUGCCCGGUAGCUAAAUGCGGAAGAGAUAAGUGCUGAAAGCAUCUAAGCACGAAACUUGCCCCGAG
rnacentral:rRNA from 1 species